GCCAGCAGCCAUAUCACUCUGCAACUUACAACCUGCAGCCCACUGAAGCCCAGCAGGGUGAGCCUGGUUAGUACCUGGAUGGGAGACCUCCUGGGAAAAACUAAGGUUGCUGCUGGAA
rnacentral:rRNA from 1 species